AGAAAUCUAAUUCAAUGCUCUACUUGAAAAUCUCUGAUCAUGCUUUUGGAUCAGAGCUUUUCUCAAAUGUUACAUCUUUUCUAGGAUUGUAUUUAUUUGCAAAAGCAUUUCCUUAGAAGUUUUAAAACUGUUUAAUAUAUUCAUUCUUUGUUUUUAUAGGCAUACUGAGUAAAGCCCAUAUUUUCAAUUUCAUAUACAUGUCUUCCAGGAAAAAAAUUGUUUUCAGCAUGGGACACAUCUUCUGUAAUGACUCCUUGUCAAAUAUGUACUCUUCAAAAUAAAGUACAAAAAGUUGUGAGUUUUCCAAUCUUAGAGGAAAAGAAUAGAGGAAAUGGUGCAAUUCACACACCUGCAGAAACUCCAGGGGUGGUUGAGCAUGUGACGGAUGAUUGAACCAAAGGUUUCCUUUCAAGGGUAGAAGUUUAAAAUAUGGAGAAGAUCAGUGAAAGAGCAGAGCAUAGACGUAUGCACUUGGAAGAAGCCCAAACAAUCCACCAGCAACUCAUGAGCUAGCAGCAGAAAAGAUGACAGAGCUGGGGCUGGCAGAGCGAGGAAUGAAAGAGAGAGAACAGAUCAGUGUUCAGUUUGAAAGAGCCAUAAUUCAGCAGUCUUUCUACAUUACCUCUCAGAAGAAGGAGCCUGCGUGUCUAAAGAGAGAAGUGAAGUUUAAGUACUGGAAAAAAGGAAAGUCUUCAGCCUUGGGAAUGUAAUAACUUGGGGUCAGCUGAGAACCCUGAGGAGUACUGACCCAAUCAGCUGCUGGGAGAAGCAACAUAACUGUUCUGCUGGAGGGAGAAACAAAUUCUAAUCAGAUGUGAGCCAACCAUCCAGGGAGCUUCUGUUGUCAUGAGAAAAGGAAGUGCUCUUCCUUUCAACUGGAAAACUAGAAUGUGCCACUUUUUUUUUUGUUAAUGCUCCCUCUUUUCUUUUUUUAUUAGCUUUGUAAUAAAAAUUUAAUUUAAAAGUUGAUAUGCAAACAAGAAGUGUGUAACAAUCUGAAUAUUUAACAUUGAUAGAUUUAUCUAUUUUAGAAAAUUAAAGUGAAUAUAUCUGAGUUUUAGAGUUUAAUGUUUACUGCACACAGGAUGAAACAGAAACUAAACUUUGUUACAUUUUAAAAAAAUUCUUUAACUUAUUCAGUUGGAUUUACUGUUUGUAAAGUGAAAAGAAACUCUUUUUCUCCAAAAUUUUUGUCCUUUACUGAGUGACUUUAGAAAAUUGAUUUCACUAUUCCAAGUUUUAGUUUUUUAUUCAGAAAUUAAGAAAUAUGUCAGUAUGUGUCUAUUAUUACUGUAGAUCACUUCUUGGCCUUUUGGCUAAGAUCAAGUGUAUUAUUAUUAUAGAAUGGGUUCUCAGAUAAAGAAAAAAACUAAGAAAUUUCUCAGAUUUUUGGGAGUAUUUCAUUAUAAAAACAAAAACUAUAUAAGAUUAAAUUGAUAUUACCUUUUCGAUGGACUCACUUGAAAAAGAGUUACAAGAUGCAAUUUGAGGAGUUUUACGGGCCAAUGUUAAGGCUAGGCGUACAUUUUCUAUUUUGAAAUCUCUGGUAUCUUUGUGGUACCCAGAAUAUGUAGUGAGGUAAAUAGAUAUCACCUUAAGAA
rnacentral:lncRNA from 1 species